rnacentral:rRNA from 1 species
UACAGAGGGGCAAGCGUUAUUCGGAAUUAUUGGGCGUAAAGGGCGCGUAGGCGGCCUGGCAAGUGGAAGGUGAAAUCCCUCGGCUUAACCGAGGAACUGCCCUCCAAACUGCUUGGCUUGAGUCCGGGAGAGGUGAGUGGAAUUCCCAGUGUAGCGGUGAAAUGCGUAGAUAUUGGGAGGAACACCAGUGGCGAAGGGCGGCUCACUGGACCGGAACUGACGCUGAGGCGGCGAAAGCGUGGGGAGCAAACGGG